rnacentral:rRNA from 1 species
UACGAAGGGUGCUAGCGUUGUUCGGAAUCACUGGGCGUAAAGCGCGCGUAGGCGGCGAUACAAGUCAGAGGUGAAAGCCUGGAGCUCAACUCCAGAAUUGCCUUUGAAACUGCAUUGCUAGAGUGUCGGAGGGGAUAGCGGAAUUGCUAAUGUAGAGGUGAAAUUCGUAGAUAUUAGGCAGGAACACCGGUGGCGAAGGCGGCUAUCUGGACGACAACUGACGCUG